rnacentral:lncRNA from 1 species
AGGGCACGUGGGGAGCUGUUUGCGGAUAGAAUGGAGGAUGUGGGGUGGUGUUGGAGUGCACUGGUUGAUUUCUUCCUCAGAGGGGAUUGGGGUUCCCUGUGGCCCAAAGGUGGAGCCCUGAUCCAUAACCCCACGUGAGCCCCGAACGCCAUAUAACUCGGCGUGAGCCCAAGGCUCCCCAUGACCCAUAACCCUGUGAGCACCGUAAGCCCAUAUGAGGCUGAGGGCAGUGAUGGGUCUGUUACUGGCUAGGUCAGGAGGGUGGCUCUGGGGCCGCUGUUGUAUAGCACUCUACAUCUGCCCCUGACCCUCAUCUAGCCCACAUCUUGGGGGGUAAGAUGAGGGUGCAGGGGUUAGUGGAGGGCUAAGGAAGAGAUUCCAUGAGUAUGAACCAUAGCAGCCUCAGAGCCAUCCUAGAGCAGCGCCAUCACUGCCCGCGGCCCGUGGCCAGCAGCAGUUCUCCUGGUUGCUGUGUUGUUACUUCACUCUCCUCAGUGAGUUCCUUCUGCUCCCAUAGUUCUCCUCCUGUGGCACUCACUGCUCUCCUGUUCCCCCUUGGCUAAGGACUGCAGGCUCACAGUCUCCGCCACGCAUCCGCUGUGCAGUUUUUCCAGAGCAGGUCUAUGGCCAAGCUGCUCCUUUUGGGCUGAUUGUGUGCUUUUCUAUGCAGACAGGCAGGCAGGAUUUCUUGCAGCUGUCGUACGUGCUGGGUCUCAUGCUCCGUCCUGCACCUGUGCCUUAUCUCGUGUGCACUCUCCACCUCCCCCUGCCAUAACAGGUCGGGUGAUUUCCAGCAGCACACAGCUGGCACACCGAGCCACUCUGACCACGUACGGCAGCAGCCCGCCCCAUGGCUUCCUUGGGGCAGCCGUGGGGCUGUACCACCCUGAGGAGGCGAUGACUUUUCCCCACACACAGCUGGUUCUCUGGCCACACGGGGUGAGGAUGUGGGGUUGGGGGUCACAUGGCUGUCCUGCAGAGUCAGAGUGUUAUGGGGUUUUGUGGGGUUCUGGGUUAGAUGGGGUUCUGGGUUGCUGUGAUGAGGUCAGAUGAGAUGGUAGGGUCAGAUGGGGUGACAUGGAGUUCUGUGGUCACAUGUGUUUCUAUGGUCGAGUUGAGGUGGGGGCAGGGAUCCCAGAGUUCUGGGGCCACAUGGCAUCGGGUCGCAGCGUGAUGGGGGCAGGUAGGGUCAGGGAGUCACAGGGUCAUGUGGGGGUGUGGUUCACCCAGGGUUGUGG